GAUGAACGCUGGCGGCGUGCCUAAUACAUGCAAGUCGAGCGAAUGGAUUAAGAGCUUGCUCUUAUGAAGUUAGCGGCGGACGGGUGAGUAACACGUGGGUAACCUGCCCAUAAGACUGGGAUAACUCCGGGAAACCGGGGCUAAUACCGGAUAACAUUUUGAACCGCAUGGUUCGAAAUUGAAAGGCGGCUUCGGCUGUCACUUAUGGAUGGACCCGCGUCGCAUUAGCUAGUUGGUGAGGUAACGGCUCACCAAGGCAACGAUGCGUAGCCGACCUGAGAGGGUGAUCGGCCACACUGGGACUGAGACACGGCCCAGACUCCUACGGGAGGCAGCAGUAGGGAAUCUUCCGCAAUGGGCGAAAGUCUGACGGAGCAACGCCGCGUGAGUGAUGAGGGCUUUCGGGUCGUAAAACUCUGUUGUUAGGGAAGAACAAGUGCUAGUUGAAUAAGCUGACACCUUGACGGUACCUAACCAGAAAGCCACGGCUAACUACGUGCCAGCCGCCGCUGUAA
rnacentral:rRNA from 1 species